rnacentral:lncRNA from 7 species
AUAUGAGUGUCCUAGUCUUCUCCAGACUUGUCUUGAGCUCUGCUACGUUAUUACCUGAGAUGGACUGUUCCUUACUGGCUGUGGGUGCUAUGCUCUUCUGUUCUAUUGGAGCUGCGCUGGAGCACGUGGUGAAUGUUUGGUGUCAGAAGGAGGUGAUGGAUGUCCUUUCCCAGCAGUAGUGGUGCCCUCCUUGGAUUUGUAGAACUGCGUACAAAACACAUUUUCAUUUCAACAUCGCUAAGAUGAUGGACAAUACGCUGGGUCUGCAAUAACAUUGACUCAAAAUUCCUUGCUCAUUGUGAGAUAACUUCCUAAAGAUUGCGAGCAAAAGGAAGUCAGAGAACAAAGCAAUGUCAAGUAUGCACAUGUCACAACACAAUGCGCUGAUUCCAAGUCUUUGGAAACAUGCUGAAAGAUGUCUGGAAAAAAAAAAAAAAAGAAGAAAAAAAAAAAAAAGGAAAUGCUUUCACACAGAAUUUCGACAUGAAAACAACAGCUGAAUGUGCCUGUUCCUGCCAGGAAAAAAUACCCUGAAAAAACAAAAGGUGCUGGAAAACUAGAAAUGAAAUCAUCACAUGCUACACAAGAGGAUAUGAGCAGAGAUCAAGCCCAUUGAAAACAAACCGAGAGGUUGACCAGCCUACUGGGUAAGAGUGGCACACCCCAGGAUAUAAUUUUUCCAUCAUGAUAAUUAUCUAUAAAAAAGAACAUCCAGAAUAGUUUCUGCAACUCUUAUUGGCUUGUUCCAUUUUAGCAUUAUUUUGUAGGUUUAUUUUAGUUUUAUUUUAGUUUUUUUUUUUCCUAAGAAUACCUUCACUUUGGAUUUAAUACUGUAUUCUCAAAGUAUUGUUCAUAUUGAUAGUUAUUUUACUGUUUCAUUUUGAGUGACAGUUCUGAGGCUCUUGAGGGAAAUACUCUGAGUUAGAAGAACAGUGCUUCUAUUUUCUUUCAUGAAUCAGAAGUACCUCUUUCAUUUCUUGCAUGAUGUUGUCAAGACAACAGUGUCCUAAAUUGCACUUAUACUGUUCACCACAGUAUUCUGAAGCACACAAUAUUUUGGAGAACCACAGUGUUUUGGAGCAACUUUUAUUGUGGAAAUAUUUCUAAACUUGAGCAGCUCUCCUUUUCCUACCUAUUUUCAAAGUAUUUAAAAUCUGUGUUACCUGUAACUCAUUUUUUCCUGGUUAAAAAUUGCUUGGCAUUUAAGAUCUACAUCAAAAAUCUUCUGUGUUUUUUUUUUUUUGUUGUUGUUCGUAUGAGUGUGAGAAUAUUCAGAGUAUGUGCUAAAUGUUCAAACAAAAAAUGCCACAUAUGCAAAAUAAGGAUUAAGGAUCUAGAAGGAAAAUUACAGAAAUGAAAAACACUGAUUCUCUACAACUAUGAUGCCUCAGAAAUGUGUGACAUUUUCUAUUAUUCUGUAGUGUGAUUACUUUAUACAUUCAUAUACUUGUGCAGUGUGGCCAACAUUUUAGUAACUUUUCUUUCAGCAAUUUGGCCCUUUUACAGGCUCAGCUAAUGUUGCACUAACAUGCUUUUUUAAUAUUUAAUUUCCUUGACUGAAUCUAUAAAACAAAGAAGAGAAAGUUUAAAAUAACAAGAAGUACACUGACCUAAAUUCACUUCAAAGUUUAUGCUGGCUUCUGCUGUGUACUGUUAGCAGAGGAGCCAGAAGUUUUUUGGUGAAUGCAUCAGCAGAAAUACUUGUAGUCUCUCUUCUUGUGAAAGAGUCAUGCCAGAACAGGGCAGGCCCAGAAGGACUGGCCAUGAAGAAGUGGCAGCAAGGUUGGUGCCGGCCUCUUCAGACCUUUUCUUUCCUGGAGAUGUGUAAUCUUGUUGAUCAGAAGGUUUUUGAUAGUAAUGCUUAAGGAUCCUGACAAUAUGAAUCCUCCUAAGAAAUUCUGAGCAUACACUCAAAGUUGGAUAAGAUGAAAAAAAUGUUAUUGAAUUUAGACCGAGGACUUUGAUUACUGGAAUAAUUAACACAAGAAUAAGAAUGUGUGUGGUAAGAUUCAGAUCAUGGCUACAAAAGUAUUUGUUAUCAUUUCCAUAUCAAAAUUAGCACUGUCCAGAAAUGAGAGAUGAAGAACCAGCUUAUAUCAAGCCUCUGCCACCCCACUCCAAGGCCAUAGCAAUUCAUUCCAUUUUAGGAAGAGCAUCCUAUUCCAAAUCACUCCUACUCUUUCUUCAGGUAACUAGAGAGCUCUUCUGU